rnacentral:rRNA from 1 species
UACGGGGGGUGCGAGCGUUAAUCGGAAUAACUGGGCGUAAAGGGCACGCAGGCGGACCUUUAAGUGAGGUGUGAAAUCCCCGGGCUUAACCUGGGAAUUGCAUUUCAUACUGGGGGUCUAGAGUACUUUAGGGAGGGGUAGAAUUCCACGUGUAGCGGUGAAAUGCGUAGAGAUGUGGAGGAAUACCGAAGGCGGAGGCAGCCCCUUGGGAAUGUACUGACGCUCAUGUGCGAAAGCGUGGGAAGCAAACAGG